rnacentral:rRNA from 1 species
AGGCGAAACCGCGAAUGGCUCAUUAAAUCAGUUAUGGUUCACUAGAUCGUCAAUUUUACACGGAUAACUGUGGUAAUUCUAGAGCUAAUACGUGCAAUUAGCUCGCUUCCUUGUGGAGCGAGCGCAGUUAUUAGAUCAAAACCAAUCCGGCCUUCGGGUCGGUACAAUUGGUGACUCUGAAUAACCGAAGCGGAGCGCAUGGUCUCGUACCGGCGCCAGAUCUUUCAAGUGUCUGACUUAUCAGCUUGUUGUUAGGUUACGUUCCUAACAAGGCUUCAACGGGUAACGGGGUAUCAGGGUCCGAUACCGGAGAGGGAGCCUGAGAAACGGCUACCACAUCCAAGGAAGGCAGCAGGCGCGCAAAUUACCCACUCCUAGCACAGGGAGGUAGUGACGAAAAAUAACGAUGCGAGGGCUAUUAGCUUCUCGUAAUCGGAAUGGGUACACUUUAAAUCCUUUAACGAGGAUCUAUUGGAGGGCAAGUCUGGUGCCAGCAGCCGCGGUAAUUCCAGCUCCAAUAGCGUAUAUUAAAGUUGCUGCGGUUAAAAAGCUCGUAGUUGGAUCUGGGCUUCUGAAUGGAUGGUGCACUUUUCGGUGCAACUGUUCGUUUGGUGCCACAAGCCGGCCAUGUCUUGCAUGCUCUUCAUUGAGUGUGCAUGGCGACCGGAACGUUUACUUUGAAAAAAUUAGAGUGCUCAAAGCAGGCGUACGGCCUUGCAUAAUGGUGCAUGGAAUAAUGGAAUAGGACCUCGGUUCUAUUUUGUUGGUUUUCGGAACUCGAGGUAAUGAUUAAUAGGAACAGACGGGGGCAUUCGUAUUGCGGCGUUAGAGGUGAAAUUCUUGGAUCGUCGCAAGACGAA